GCUGGAAAGUUUUUGUGACGGACAGAACGACUGUCCGGACAGCCAAGAUGAAGAGAACUGCACAGGUGUCGCUUGUCCAGAGAACUACUUCCGGUGUAACACCAGCCGCUGCAUCCCCUCCACUUGGCUGUGUGACUCCUUGACUGACUGCUUGCAUGGGGAAGACGAAAAAGACUGUCCAGUAAGCUCAAACUCGACCAGCAGUAUUGGCACUACAAUGCAAGUGACCUCGAGUGAUCAAAGCACCCAUCAGACGACCGCGCCCCCGAAAUCUGGCAGAAGAAAACGUGAAGCGAAAAUUGUUUCUGGGUUGCCAAAAAAGCAGAUGCAGUUGCCUGAAAAGUUAAGACAAAAGCUUUUAACAAUGAUAAGCCGAGAUGGCCAUAAGGAGAAAGUCAUCAAUGAAUUAUACAGGAGUUAUCGCGAGUUCCAAAAGACUGGGAGUAGACAGC